ensembl:lncRNA
GCUGCCUUAAAGCCUGUGCUCUCUCUGCUCUUGUGUUGUCGGGCUGUGAGCUGAAAAGCUACAGCCGGCUGUAUGCGUACAGCAACCGCGUGUGAAAAGCAUGUCCAUGCAAACAUCGUCGGGUCUGCAGUGAUAUGUUUACAAUGAGACUUCUGGUCCCAAACCUCUGCGCACAGCGUCUGCAAAUCGGGGCUUUCAUCUUUACGCAGGACCGUAAGCUGUCAUCUGUGAGGCGGGAGCGGUGUUUGUUUUUUAACAUAGUUCAUGGUGGAGAACAGCUGCCGACAUAAUGUGGAUCCGAAGAUCCAUAAUCGGCCUAUCUGGGGUUGAAAGUCUCCAUACAUGCACGGCGUUUCGAUUCCAUUAGAUGAACCAAGUGAACCGAGGUGCAGUAAUCUCAGCGUGCCUCUGUUCGGAUUUGAAAACAUUGAACACUGCCUCAGAAAACAUUUAGCCUAUUUAUCGCGCAAACAGUGGACGGCAUUAGCCACUGAUGACAUCACCUCGGAUGUCGUCAAUCUGCUGACUAAAAUGUGCCGAGUACUCAUAGAGGACAUUAGCAGCUUAGUGUUUAAAGUCGUACGCCCACAGGUUUUAUGCUGCCCACAUAAUCAUGAUCGUGGAGACAACGAAAGCUCCGAUGACCGGAUGAAUGUUGAACCUCUGGUUGAUGGGUGCAGUUACUGCAGGGUGACAGAGGAUGAUAUUCAGGCCAGCCUCAGAAACAUCUUUGAUAACUGUUUUGGUUGGGUCUUGGGUUUUGGGCAACGGCGGUCUCGUGACUCAGACAAACUACUGACUUUAUUUUCAGUGUCGAUUGCAAAGAAUGUAAACUCAGCCCUGAGUCGUAUCACAGGGUCCACAUCCUUGCAAUCAGAUAGGUCCAGAUCCCCAACAAACCUUGUUGGGAUGGUUUACAGUGUAGUCAACAUUUUAGAAGACUAUGCAAAGACCUUAGCUCCCCUUUCUGUAGAUGGUGAGAGUAGCAGCGACAGCAUUGUUGAAAUGCCAGAGUCUGAGGAAGAUAACGACUUUAAACCAGAGUCUGUAGAGACUUUUAAAAGCACACAGACUCAAGCUUGUGUAGGCAAGGAACGUUUGGUUAACAAGGGCCACAGUGAUACAUUUCAAAUCAUUGAUGUCCAAAAUCUUGACAGUGAGAGCUCAGAGAGUGAUGAAAAAUGUAGUGAUGCCCUGCAGUGUUCGUCUGGGACACUUCCUCGCCUACAGAGAUCGAUACCUUUCUCAAUUUGUGUCUUGCAAAUUUAGUCAUUCACGUUUCUGAGAAAACACAAACAUUUGCUGUAAAGUUAAAUUGUCAGCAGAUAGUGACUGAUAUAAGAGAGAAGAUUGAGGGAGACUUGACUCCUCUAAAAACUGUAAAAAACUUGUACAUCAUAAUGUACAAAGACCUGUGUCGCAAAUUUGGAUCCAAAUACGUGCUUCCGUUUGUAAUGGAAAAGGCUGAUGCGACUUUUGUAGCAGCCGUUGUGGAGCUAUUAAAAGCAGAGCUCAAAAAAUUGGCCAGCCCCAGUAACGUGCUGAGAAGUUUAGAAAGUAACAAAAGCGUUUCUCCAGCCGGUAAGAACAAAACGCAACAAUCUGCUACUGAGCAAAAUGGAUCCACAGAUUCCCAGAAAAACAGGCCGAGAAACCGUAUCGUUAGGGCCCUCACUUCUUUUUUUAGAUGUUUGAGGACGCUAUUCAGUUGCUGCAUGAGCAGUGAGUCAGAAACAGAGUAAUUAUCUUCAUAAUUACUCAAUGCAUGCUCAGUGAUCCAGGUAAGUCAAUCCCAAGAGGUGGAAUCUGUUCAUGUGGAUGUAGCGUUCUCAGCAGGAGGCGUUUUCUCCCGCUGUGAACGCUAUGUCCACAUGAACAGAAUCCACCUUUUGGGGUACCUUCAUAAUGUUACAACAGUUACAAUCCUCUUUUCAAAAAAUAUGCAGCAGUUUCAGCUGUUUGUAAGUCAUUUAACACAGGUUGCGGCAGAAGACCUCCCCUCAUCGAGCCUGGUUCUGCCGGAGGUUUCUUCCUAUUAAAAGGGAGUUUUUCCUUCCCACUGUCGCCUUGUGCUUGCUCAGAGGGGGUGGUCUGAUUGUCAGGGUUUUCUCCCCAAAC